ensembl:lncRNA
GCCGUAAUGCCGACGAUGUCCACGGCAGAUUGGGCACCUCAGAAAUGAGCGGGAACAAGAUGCAGUCCAUACCGCUUUCUGUUAUCAGGGAGAAAAAAAUCAUUGGAGAAAAAGACGUCAGUUUAGAAGAGAUGGCAAAAUUUUACCCAGAGUGAAAUAUUAUAAUCUCUAUUUUCAGAGAAGAGUGUGGCAAGUCUAUGGCCAUUUGAGGUGGUCAUUAAUACAGAGCUGUCAAAAUUACUCUAUCAUGUUUAUGGAAGAAGCUACCAAGAACCAAAAUGGAAUGGACCAGCAUAUAGAUUGCAACAGACUUCUUUCUUAAACUGGACACAUUUUUCAAUGCCAUCAUGAGUUCAGAAAGUAAGAAACCAUUGCCUGAUGACUUGGAUUUGGAAAAAUAAUCUUUAAUAUACAUAUAAAAUAACUUCUCACUAGGAAAGGGGAGGGAGUUACAACUUGUUUGUUUAAUCUUCCAUUUUUGCACUUGCAAGAUCAUGCAAAGGAAGCUCAACUCACAGCCAUGGCUCUUCAAAGGACACAGAACACACUCAAUUUACCAAGUUGCUGAGGAGUCAGAAGGGCAAAGCAAAUAGAGGACAUCUGCAAAACUAGAAGUUUGUUCAGGGUUGAGGAAAAGACCCAGCUGGAUUCAAACGCUUGAAGGAAUGACCUGUGAUGAUAUUGACCUUAUUCCAUAGGUCUCUGAGGACCUACACAGACCUUAUCUCACUUUAACCCAUGAUAAUGCAUUACCUGAUUACAUUCUCUCAUUUAUGUUUUAUACUUUAAUUUAUAUACUGUGAUUUUCUUCCACAUAUGAUAAUUGUUAAAGAAUUAGUAGUCUUUCAAUAUGACUUUGCUUUUCAUUAAUGCUUUAUUGUACAAAUCAGUACUUAUAGUAUGUAAUUUUAAAAAAAUUGAUUUGUUAAGUAAAUAUUUGCUAAGUGCCUACUGUACAGUAGAUACUAAAUGGGGGAAAUAUAUUAAUGAAACAAAAUCAGAAAGCAAGGAAACAACAAAUGUAAGCAAAUUUAAUAGGGGCUAGGAAAUGAUACAUUCAAUGGAAAAAACAGGAGGAUACAGGCAGCUGGAGGCUAGAGAGAAAAGUUAUACAUUUACAUAAGGCAGUCCAGGUAGACUUCCUUCAAGGGAUGAUGGGGGGAAAGGUAGGCAGGAGGUAGGCUAAGCAGGAUAAUAUGUUCCAGGCAGAAGGAACAGUGACACAAAUAUUUGAGAGUGGAACAAAUAUUUAAGAGAAACAACAGGAGGCCAAUGUGGCCAAAGCAAAAUGAAGCACUUGAAUUUUACAGUGGAGAUUUAUGUCAUUGAACUAGGACCGAUGCAGAAAUUCAUUUUCUAGGAAAGGGAAUUAUAUCCAUGCAAGAACUAGUAUUUUGUGGAUAUUUGUCUAAAUAAAUAUCCAUUCAUUCAACACAUGUUGACUGACUUCCUACUAUGAGCUAGCACUUUGGGGCAUGGGAGGCAUUCGUGAAAACAAUGAAGAUGCAUGUUUUCUUGUAAAUUAUCAGUGGUCAGGACUAAGCAAGGGAUAUCUCAAUAAUUUACAAUAGGCUAACUUUCAUACAAGAACGUUUGAAUGUGUCGUUGUCUAGUCCCUAUAUAAACAAGAGGCAAAAUCUCUGUAUGUGUCUCAGGCAGAGGUUCCAACCUUCAGCCACAGGCCAAUACUGGUUCAUGGUCUGUUGGGAGCAAGGCUUCAGAUCAGGAGAGCAGAAGAUGAGCAAUGGAAGUUUUGCCUGUAUUACAGCCACUCCCCGCAGCUCUCAUUACCACCUGAGCUCCCCCUGCUGUCAGAUCGGCAGCAGCGUUAGAUUUUCAGAGCCGUGACUCCUACCGCGAACUGCGCAUGAGCGGGAUCUAGGCCGCCUGCUUGUUUAAAUCAGCCUGAAACAAACCAACAGGUCCUACCUCGUGGAAAAACUGUCUCCCAUGAAACCUGUCCUUGAUGCCAAAAAGAUUGUGGCCCCUUAGGUAAUUAACACUGAAAUAGCCAGCUGACAUAUAUAAUAAAAUGUACUUGUCAAAGUCAAUGGAC